GACGAACGCUGGCGGCGUGCUUAACACAUGCAAGUCGAACGGAAAGGCCCUGCUUUUGUGGGGUGCUCGAGUGGCGAACGGGUGAGUAACACGUGAGUAACCUGCCCUUGACUUUGGGAUAACUUCAGGAAACUGGGGCUAAUACCGGAUAGGAGCUCCUGCUGCAUGGUGGGGGUUGGAAAGUUUCGGCGGUUGGGGAUGGACUCGCGGCUUAUCAGCUUGUUGGUGGGGUAGUGGCUUACCAAGGCUUUGACGGGUAGCCGGCCUGAGAGGGUGACCGGGCACAUUGGGAAUGAGAUACGGCCCAGACUCCUACGGGAGGCAGCAGUGGGGAAUAUUGCACAAUGGGCGGAAGCCUGAUGCAGCAGCGCCGCGUGCGGGAUGACGGCCUUCGGGUUGUAAACCGCUUUCGCCUGUGACGAAGCGUGAGUGACGGUAAUGGGUAAAGAAGCACCGGCUAACUACGUG
rnacentral:rRNA from 1 species